rnacentral:rRNA from 1 species
GGGUCAGUAGGUUGGUCGUGCCACCGGUACGUACUGGUCUCACUGAUUCCUCCUCCCUGAAGAACCGUAAUGCCAUUAAUUUGGUGUUGCGGGGAAACAGGACUGUUACUUUGAAAAAAUUAGAGUGUUCAAAGCAAGCUAACGCUUAAAUACAUUAGCAUGGAAUAAUGAAAUAGGACGAUCGGUCCUAUUUUGUUGGUUUCUAGGAUUGACGUA